rnacentral:rRNA from 1 species
AUGAGCCGGUUCCAAAUGCUUGCCGAAAUGAGCUACUGCCGCACCCUGCUCAUGCAAAAAGGAACGAGGUCACUUGCCCUGACUACCCCUGCAAAAGCCAGGGUGGCCCAUCGAGUGUGCAUCAGGGUGGCCCAUGAAACCAAUGAACCAGGCCGCACCAGCUCCGAGGCACGCGCGUACGCUCUCGCAGCCCAACUCACGGAUUCAGCAGCGGCCAGCCGGGCGCCGGCAACCAGAAGGCCGCCGAUCAACGGCACGACGCCGGACGCCGAACUCCUCCAACGCGAGACGCGACUAGCCGACUACGCUUUGAGUCCAAGAGACUCAUUUCGUGAUUUCAAUUUCGAUAAUCUCAUGAGUUUGGCUAAACUAUACCCUCAGGAUUUUGAUUCCGGGGAUUUGAGGGAUCUUGAUAAGGAUCUAUGUCUCUAUAUUGCUGAUGUGCGCACAGAUGCUAGCUUUUCCAACAUAGCAACAAUCACCGAGCUUUCAAAAAAAAUGGGUAAGAUUAGCUCCAGAUCCGCCCCUGCAGGUAGCAGGCUUCCCUUUUCGGCCACUGACUACCAAAAGGAAAAAGACCCAGAACCCCCGUCCCCCGACCUGAUCCGCUCCCCCAGUGCGCCGCCGCGACCGCCCCUUUCACCAGCGCGCCGUCGCGGCCUCUCCCUACCCCAGCGCGCCGCCGGUGCCUCCCCCAGCACGCCGUCGCGGCCUCCCCUCUCCUCCAGUGCGCAGCCCUGUCCCCACCUUCUCCCUCGGCUCCGGCCGCUGCCCCACACGUUCUCCCUCGGCUCCGGCCGCCGCCCCCACCUUCUCCCUCGCCUCCGGCCGCAGCCCCCACCUUCUCCCUCGGCUCCGGCCGCAGCCCCCACCUUCUCCCUCGGAUCCGGCCACCGCCCCGCACUCCAAUCACAGAUCGAGUCGUCGCCGUUGCCUUACCCUAGAUCGCACCGCCCAAAACCAUCUGUCGCCACCACGGCCACCCGAACGACGUCCUCACGCGCCGCCGCUAUCUCUCCUUGCUCCGCCGCCAGCCAAGCACCUCCUCACCUCCAUUGUUGUUCAGCACUUCCUCCAGUUCAUCCCAUGGCGGCUGCGCUCGUGGCCGAGCUCACUCCAAUCCCUCCACCACGCUACCUCCUUCCGCUGGUGAGGCUUCGUCGCUGCAACGCCCUGGCCAUUCACUGUCGCCAUCCCGGGCCGUUCAAUGAGACAGCGCCAAGUCGUUCGACACCGCAACUCAGGAGUCUGCCUCCUUUGACAGCUCCUGAUCUCCGGAACAACUAUGGCUCCCUGCUGGCACAACUUGCUCUCGACGACCUCCUUUGA